AUGAUGUGUGUAAUUUGGACCAAUGAAAACAGAAAUCCAGCCUCCUUUUUUUGUGCGGAAAUGGGCCCCUACGAUAUCCUGGGGAUGGAUGUUUUAUUCGAAGAAUUCCCAGAAAUUGUGAAUCUCGGUGUACAAGAAUCAACACGAAUGCUGAAACAUUGUUUUUUUUUGCUGAAGUCAACAGACGACGAUGAGGACCUGCCAACCCAGAGCGAUGAAAAUGCACCGUACGACCCAGAGAUGAGGACCUCACUUGAUGAUGAACAGAUCUUCGACAGCGAAGGAUACUGCUCUGAAGAUUUCCGUUUCCUACCUGAAGAUCACUUCUAA
rnacentral:rRNA from 1 species